UACGUAGGGUGCAAGCGUUAUCCGGAAUUAUUGGGCGUAAAGAGCUCGUAGGCGGUUUGUCGCGUCUGCUGUGAAAACUGGGGGCUCAACCCCCAGCCUGCAGUGGGUACGGGCAGACUAGAGUGCGGUAGGGGAGAUUGGAAUUCCUGGUGUAGCGGUGGAAUGCGCAGAUAUCAGGAAGAACACCGGUGGCGAAGGCGGUGGGCUGGGCCGGCACUGACGCUGAGGAGCGAAAGCGUGGGGAGCGAACAGG
rnacentral:rRNA from 1 species